rnacentral:rRNA from 1 species
CCAAUAGCGUAUAUUAAAGUUGUUGCAGUUAAAAAGCUCGUAGUUGAAUUUCGGGACCAAUAUGUCGGUCGUGCCUCGGUACGUACUGGUGUCAUUGGUUUCUCCCUUCUGAGGAUCCUUGAUGUCAUUAAUUUGGUGUCUUGGGGAAUCAGGACUGUUACCUUGAAAAAAUUAGAGUGUUUAAAGCAGGCAUACGCUUGAAUACAUUAGCAUGGAAUAAUGAAAUAGGACGUUCGAUUCUAUUUUGUUGGUUUCUAGGAUCGACGUAAUGAUUAAUAGGGAUAGUUGGGGGCAUUAGUAUUCAAUUGUCAGAGGUGAAAUUCUUGGAUUUAUUGAAGACUAACUACUGCGAAAGCAUUUGCCAAGGAUGUUUUCAUUAAUCAAGAACGAAAGUUAGGGGAUCGAAGACGAUCAGAUACCGUCGUAGUCUUAACCAUAAACUAUGCCGACUAGGGAUCGGAUGAUGUUAAUUUUUUAAUGACUCAUUCGGCGCCUUACG